rnacentral:rRNA from 1 species
UUCCGGUUGAUCCUGCCGGAAGCCACUGCUAUUGGGAUUCGAUUAAGCCAUGCGAGUCGAGAGGGUUCGGCCCUCGGCAGACUGCUCAGUAACACGUGGAUAACCUACCCUUAGGUGGAGGAUAAUCUCGGGAAACUGAGAAUAAUACUCCAUAGAUCUAGGCUGCUGGAAUGCAUCUAGAUCAAAAGCUCCGGCGCCUAAGGAUGGGUCUGCGGACUAUCAGGUUGUAGUCAGGGUAAAGACCUGACUAGCCUACGACGGAUAUGGGUUGUGAGAGCAAUAGCCCAGAGACGAUAUCUGAGACACGAUAUCGGGCCCUACGGGGCGCAGCAGGCGCGAAAUCUUCACAAUGUGUGAAAGCGCGACGAGGGGAUCCCAAGUGCUUGCUCGUAAGAGUAAGCUGUUUUUAUGUCUAAAAAGCAUAGAGAGUAAGGGCUGGGUAAGACGGGUGCCAGCCGCCGCGGUAAUACCUGCAGCUCAAGUAGUGAUCGCUAUUAUUGGGCCUAAAACGUUCGUAGUCGGUUUGGUAAAUGCCUGGGUAAAUAGUGUAGCUUAACUAUACGAAUUCCGGGUAGACUGCCAAACUUGAGACCGGGAGAGGCUAGAGGUACUCCUGGGGUAGAGGUGAAAUUCUGUAAUCCUGAGGGGACCACCAGUGGCGAAGGCGUCUAGCUAGAACGGGUCUGACGGUGAGGAACGAAGCCCUGGGUCGCGAACCGGAUUAGAUACCCGGGUAGUCCAGGGUGUAAACGCUGCCUGCUUGAUGUUAGUUGGGCUCCGAGCCCAAUUAGUGUCGGAGAGAAGUUGUUAAGCAAGCUGCCUGGGAAGUACGAUCGCAGAUUGAAACUUAAAGGAAUUGGCGGGGGAGCACAGCACGGGUGGAGCGUGCGUUAUGGAUCACGCGA